rnacentral:lncRNA from 1 species
UCGUUGUUCUCUUCAUUGUCGUUGUUGUUGUCGUCGUCGUCACUGUCAUUGUCGUCGUCGUUGUUGUUGUUGUUGUUAUUUUGUUGUUGUUGUUGUUGUCGUCGUCGUCGUCUUCAUUUUUGUUGUUGUUGUUGUUGACGUCGUCUUCAUUUUUUUUGUCGCUGUUGUCGUUGUUGUUGUUGUUGCCGUUGUUAUUGUUGUUGUUUCCGUGGUUGUCGUUUUUCCCUUCAUUACAUUUGCUAUCGUCGUUGUUGUCGUCGUCGUUGUCAUUGUUGUUGGUGUUGUUCUUGUUGUUGUCUGGUUGUUGUUGUUGUUGUUGUUGUUGUUGUUGUUGUUGUUGUUGUUCUCUUCGUCGCCGUCAUCCUCGUUGUCGUCGUGUAACAUCCCAAAAUUAUAAAUU